rnacentral:rRNA from 1 species
AUCGAACGCUGGCGGCAGGCCUAACACAUGCAAGUCGAACGUGUGGCGGAGGGGUGUGAAACGUCUGGGAACCUGCCCGAUGGAGGGGGAUAACUUCUGGAACCGGUAGCUAAUACCGCAAACCAUCGGAUGUGCCCAGAUGGGAUUAGCUAGUAGGUGGGGUAAAGGCUCACCUAGGCGACGGUCCCUAGCUGGUCGGAGAGGAUGACCGGCCACACUGGAACUGAGACACGUGCCAGACUCCGACGGGAGGCAGAAGUGGGGAAUAUGGCACAGUGGGCGCAAGCCUGAUGCGGCCCUGCCGCGUGUAUGAAGAAGGCCUUCGGGUUGUAAAGUACUUUCAGCGAGGAGGCGUUACUCGCAGAAGAAGCGCCGGCUAACUCCGUGCCAGCAGCCGCGGUAAUUC